rnacentral:rRNA from 1 species
AAAUUGAAGAGUUUGAUCAUGGCUCAGAUUGAACGCUGGCGGCAGGCCUAACACAUGCAAGUCGAACGGUAACAGGAAGAAGCUUGCUUCUUUGCUGACGAGUGGCGGACGGGUGAGUAAUGUCUGGGAAACUGCCUGAUGGAGGGGGAUAACUACUGGAAACGGUAGCUAAUACCGCAUAACGUCGCAAGACCAAAGAGGGGGACCUUCGGGCCUCUUGCCAUCGGAUGUGCCCAGAUGGGAUUAGCUAGUAGGUGGGGUAACGGCUCACCAAGGCGACGAUCCCUAGCUGGUCUGAGAGGAUGACCAGCCACACUGGAACUGAGACACGGUCCAGACUCCUACGGGAGGCAGCAGUGGGGAAUAUUGCACAAUGGGCGCAAGCCUGAUGCAGCCAUGCCGCGUGUAUGAAGAAGGCCUUCGGGUUGUAAAGUACUUUCAGCGGGGAGGAAGGGAGUAAAGUUAAUACCUUUGCUCAUUGACGUUACCCGCAGAAGAAGCACCGGCUAACUCCGUGCCAGCAGCCGCGGUAAUACGGAGGGUGCAAGCGUUAAUCGGAAUUACUGGGCGUAAAGCGCACGCAGGCGGUUUGUUAAGUCAGAUGUGAAAUCCCCGGGCUCAACCUGGGAACUGCAUCUGAUACUGGCAAGCUUGAGUCUCGUAGAGGGGGGUAGAAUUCCAGGUGUAGCGGUGAAAUGCGUAGAGAUCUGGAGGAAUACCGGUGGCGAAGGCGGCCCCCUGGACGAAGACUGACGCUCAGGUGCGAAAGCGUGGGGAGCAAACAGGAUUAGAUACCCUGGUAGUCCACGCCGUAAACGAUGUCGACUUGGAGGUUGUGCCCUUGAGGCGUGGCUUCCGGAGCUAACGCGUUAAGUCGACCGCCUGGGGAGUACGGCCGCAAGGUUAAAACUCAAAUGAAUUGACGGGGGCCCGCACAAGCGGUGGAGCAUGUGGUUUAAUUCGAUGCAACGCGAAGAACCUUACCUGGUCUUGACAUCCACGGAAGUUUUCAGAGAUGAGAAUGUGCCUUCGGGAACCGUGAGACAGGUGCUGCAUGGCUGUCGUCAGCUCGUGUUGUGAAAUGUUGGGUUAAGUCCCGCAACGAGCGCAACCCUUAUCCUUUGUUGCCAGCGGUCCGGCCGGGAACUCAAAGGAGACUGCCAGUGAUAAACUGGAGGAAGGUGGGGAUGACGUCAAGUCAUCAUGGCCCUUACGACCAGGGCUACACACGUGCUACAAUGGCGCAUACAAAGAGAAGCGACCUCGCGAGAGCAAGCGGACCUCAUAAAGUGCGUCGUAGUCCGGAUUGGAGUCUGCAACUCGACUCCAUGAAGUCGGAAUCGCUAGUAAUCGUGGAUCAGAAUGCCACGGUGAAUACGUUCCCGGGCCUUGUACACACCGCCCGUCACACCAUGGGAGUGGGUUGCAAAAGAAGUAGGUAGCUUAACCUUCGGGAGGGCGCUUACCACUUUGUGAUUCAUGACUGGGGUGAAGUCGUAACAAGGUAACCGUAGGGGAACCUGCGGUUGGAUCACCUCCUUA